GCCUGUGUGGCUCAGUUGGUUGAGCAUCUGACUUUUGAUAUCGGUUCAGGUCAUGAUCUCAGGGUUGUGGGAUCAAGCCCCACAGGGGGCU
rnacentral:tRNA from 1 species